GAAACCGUGUACGUACAAGCAGUGGGAGCACGCUUAGGCGUGUGACUGCGUACCUUUUGUAUAAUGGGUCAGCGACUUAUAUUCUGUAGCAAGGUUAACCGAAUAGGGGAGCCGAAGGGAAACCGAGUCUUAACUGGGCGUUAAGUUGCAGGGUAUAGACCCGAAACCCGGUGAUCUAGCCAUGGGCAGGUUGAAGGUUGGGUAACACUAACUGGAGGACCGAACCGACUAAUGUUGAAAAAUUAGCGGAUGACUUGUGGCUGGGGGUGAAAGGCCAAUCAAACCGGGAGAUAGCUGGUUCUCCCCGAAAGCUAUUUAGGUAGCGCCUCGUGAAUUCAUCUCCGGGGGUAGAGCACUGUUUCGGCAAGGGGGUCAUCCCGA
rnacentral:rRNA from 1 species